GAAGACAUGAAGUUAGGUCAGCAAACCCGCUGAAUUUAAGCAUAUAAGUAAGCGGAGGAAAAGAAMCUAAAUAGGAUUCCCUCAGUAAUGGCGAAUGAACAGGGAUGAGCUCAGUAUGGAAAUUGGGGCCUGUGGCCUUGAAUUGUAAUCUGGAGAUGUACCACCAACUGGGGCGCAGAUGUAAGCCUCUUGGAAAAGAGCAUCAAUGAGGGUGAGAGUCCCGCUUGGCAUCUGCAGUCCCCAGUGCACGGUGUACCUUCUAAGAGUCACGUUCCUCGGGAUUGGAGCGCAAAUCGGGUGGUAAGUUUCAUCUAAAGCUAAAUAUAGUUUCGAGACCGAUAGCAAACAAGUACCAUGAGGGAAAGGUGAAAAGGACUUUGAAAAGAGAGUUAAAAGUGCCUGAAAUUGCUGAAAGGGAAGCGAAUGGAACCAGCGUAACUUGGCGAGAUUGCUGCGUGUCAAUGUGAUUGCUUGCUGCUUCAACGUAAGUGUUGUAGUAAGUCUUGAACAGGACAUGCGCGGUGCUUCUUGCCUUGUGUGUCACCGUCAAUUCGCAACUGGGGAAAACUUCAGGGACAUGGUAGCCUGUCUCCGGGUGGGUGAACGUGUUUGCUGGAACUCAUUUGCSGAUUGCUUGGYGACUAAAUG
rnacentral:rRNA from 1 species